GCCAGACUUGGAGCAGCCUGGAAAUACUCAAGCGUCUCUUCUUCCCAACACACGAGGCUCUCUGUAGGUUUUUCUUUGUAUGUGUGUCUGUAGGGAGAGGAAGUUGUAUCUGACUCCUCCGAGGAUGGUUAGGUUGCAGCACUGUCUCCUUAGCCGGAGCAAAUGCUGGGAUGCGCCAUGGCUUUGCCUUGGUCAUCUACAUCACCCACGUCCCAUCACUGGGCUCCAGUCUGUUGCAGCGCCUCCAGGCUUAAUUUCUGUUCAUAAUCUGAUUAUGGGGUCUGAGCUAUUCCAGCCAGCGGCCUCUUGCUUCUCCUGUACCAUAGGCACAAAGACACAAGUGCCUGGUCGCUCUAGUCCUGCACUGUGAAAAAUCUCAACCCAGUUUUGCUUAGACCAGACGAAGGUGGUAGCUGGCUGAGAAUUAGCUGUAGAGCAGGCUGUGUGACCGAGCCGUCUGUGUGCAGCCAUGUUCAGAAGCCCAGGGUUUUCCAGCUAUUUGGGAGCUUUCAAAUUCUCUGAGAAACAAGGCUUCUGCCUGUAACUAUUGAACAGCCAAAGGCACUUCCUUAGGGGAAGGAGUUUCUAUUUCAACAAUAAAAACUUAAGCUUCAUUGGAUUCCCACAUCAAAGGAAAGUUUCAAGAUAAAGUGGCCUUGUCUCAAGGACUGUUAAAUUUUGAAGAUUUGUCAUAGCUUUUAAAAUUAUUCUCUUGAAUAUCUAACUCUGAAGUUUCAAUGUUUGGCAAUAUGUUU